AACGAACGCUGGCGGCAGGCCUAACACAUGCAAGUCGAACGCCCUAGCAAUAGGGAGUGGCAGACGGGUGAGUAACGCGUGGGAACCUUCCCAUUGGUACGGAAUAGCCCAGGGAAACUUGGAGUAAUACCGUAUAAGCCCGAAAGGGGAAAGAUGUUAUCGCCGAUGGAUGGGCCCGCGUAGGAUUAGCUAGUUGGUGAGGUAAUGGCUCACCAAGGCGACGAUCCUUAGCUGGUCUGAGAGGACGAGCAGCCACACUGGCAUUGAGACACGGCCCAGAGUCCUAAGGGAGGCAGCAGUGGGGAAUAUUCGACAAUGGGCGCAAGCUUGAUCCAGCCACGCCGCGUGCGUCAUGAAGGCCCUAGGGUUGUAAAGCUCUUUCACCGGUGAAGAUAAUGACGGUAACCGGAGAAGAAGCCCCGGCUAACUUCGUGCCAGCCGCCCCGGUAAUAC
rnacentral:rRNA from 1 species